GUCGUAUUCUCUCUACAGCGAAAGCAUGAUCAUGAAACGUAAAAAGUCCCAUCUGCUCUGACAUAUGGAAUACUUCUGUGUGUGUUCGAACGACAAUUAGCUGCCUAAUGUCUGGUAUGCAUGGAAUUCUAUACCUCUGUACACAUUGUCGUCAUGCUACAAACAUGAAAUGGAAAGAAAAUAAUGCUUACGGAUGGGUAAAGACUUACUCGAGCCAGCGCCAAGGCUCAGUCUCCGGGCUGGUGAUUGGCGUAGGGAACUAAGGAGACAGAGAUAACACAGCAAUAGAGGAGUAAACCAUCGACAUUUCAAUCUGUCGCCGCUGCCAGCACAGAAUAUAUGAAAUUCGCACGACAGUCAACGUGUUGAUAACGAAAUAACAAAGAGAGUAGUCGGAAUGAAAUAAACUAAAAUCGUUCACUGCGACGAAACGACCGUACACGUCUAACCAGAAAAGACGAGGAUCGAGAUCAAGUGGCGUGACAGGUGUGGACGAUUGCCUUAACCGGUGUACGGUAAUAUCACGAUAUCACACAGAGAUAACGAUUGGUCUCGAAUGCAGUCGAGGCACGAUUGUCCGACAAGGGGCGCCGGUUAAUUGGCCAAUCGAUGGUGAUUUUAUCUCGUUCCCUUUUCCGAUCAAACUGGCACAGUAGGAUCGCUAAACACGUACUGGAAACGUAUACGAAAUGGUUUGAGGGUCGAUGGAGCCCGCGCAGGCCAGGAUGCUUCACAUGCGCACCGACCUCUCUUUCUUCUUUCGUAACGAGAAAGUAAAUAAAAGGACCUAGGCGAUUCCGCCGACGGAACGACAGCAAAUUUUCUCUAGAAAUAUUACGAACAAAUGUGAUAUUGAUUAUGUUGAUUUUUCAGGGACAAAGCGAGGCAUUGGAUCAGUCGAGAUAAUUAAAUACUUCAGUUACGUCACUUAUCCCGUUAAUUUCUAACUAAAUUAAGUUACUUUAUUUAUUCUGUUGAUUUCGGCAGACCAUGCUAUUAUCAUGUUUUUUUCAUAUUGCAGUGCAACAUUCCUCUCACCAUAGAUUUACUUCUACUUUUAUUUUAUUUAUAUACCUGUAGCUUAGACUCAACAAUUUACGAAUUAAUGAAACGUUACAAGAAGAUUGUUGGCUUCUUGUUUCUUAUAUUAUAUCACUAUUAUAUUACACACUUAUACACGGUGUAAAUUUCGUCCGUGGUUUUGUACAGAAAAAUCUGACUUCGAAUAAAUUAUGAAGAUCACACUCGAUCGGUUAACGGUUAAGGUAGAUGCAUAUUCGGACAAAUUAAAGUUCUGAUGAAUUCAAUACGUCGAUGUAAUCAAAUAUGUUUACAGAUUUUGAUGAGUGCUAUGCAUUGCAGCUUUCGCGUGUUUUAUUCGUCAAAACGCUAGUUCGUCCGAAUAUGCAAAUACGCGUCCACUAUAACCAUAGUGCGAUCUCAAUUUUCGUGAUGUGCGACGCUACGGUCGACGUAUUUCACGAAACGGCGUCGUUCAGAUGCUUACGAUAUUUUAUACGAUAUUAUGGUACCAUAAAGGCUCUAAGACAAGAAUACGAUAAGUCACAUUUUCUAUUUUUUAUAGAGGAACAGUUUUAAAAUUCAGACCGAUGCUUCGUUGAUAAAUAAAAAUGUUACAAUUCCUCGGAUCCCAGAUGUGCGGAGCAAACAUAUUAAAGUGGAGGAUAGAACGAUAAAAAGUAAAAUUUAGAUAUGUAGGUUUUUUCAAUGAAGACUGAAGAGUGACUGGCAUAUGGGAGAAAUUAACCAGAAACAUCGUAUCGGUAAAUGAGAGGGAUAUUAAAUCGCGAAGAUUAGUGGAAUUAUUGAAAUAUUGGAAAAUAUAUAUAAGUAUUGCAAGACUUCAAAAACUUGUAUUGAAUAAUGAGAAUAGAUUAGCGAUAUUAUCAAUAUUAUAUUAUAAUACAGAAUCGAAAAUAAUGCCCGAGCAACUGGAGAAAAAUGAAAGAAAGCUGGUGUUCUAGAAAAAUCAAAUAACUGGUCAAUGACCUCUGAUACGCAAAUUUAAUGAAACGCUCUUCACCAAGCGAGAUCAGAUAGAAAAUUCUUCCGGACAAUAAACACAGUAACUUUGACUAAAUCACAUAUUCGUUGAAUUUAUUUGUGUAAUGGACUUCUGUAAUGUAUCUAUUAUUCUAAUAACUUUUUUAUUAUUGCUCUACAUUAUUCUAUUUCUUCUUAAUUUAACAGUAACUUAGUUUAUUUACAUUUUUAAAUAAUACUGCAUUUGUGCAACCUUUGCAUGUUAUCUAUUGCUUAAUGAAUUAAUUAAAAUAUCAUGUGUAAAUAUAUAAUAAAAAUGUCGUACAAUA